GCCGCGCGCUAUGGUGUACCGCGGGCUCUGGAGGGGCAGCGGGACCCCCGAGCCGGGGAGAGGGCACGUGAUAGUCGCCCUGGAGCGUCCGCGCCUGGCGUGCGACAGUCCCCGCCGGGGAAAGCGAGGGAUGGCGGGGCCAAGACGUUUUCCCCGAGUUUUUAAAAGGGCAGGGAGGGUGACCGUUGGCCUUGGGCCGGGCGCGGAGGACGCGAGCGGUGGAGUGAGCCAGCUAAACGCCUGGAGAUGAAAAGAAGUCUUUUGCCCUACCUUUCUGGAAGACCUGGAGAAGACCUGAAGACCCUUUUCAACAUAGGUUAUGACACCAGCAAACUGAUCAAAGAAUUGCAACCUGAGUAAUCGCCACAGAGCAAGGUCUACAGAAGGGAGGAGGUGGGGGCUGUGCCUGCAGAGGAGUGUAUGUCAAAUUGUGCACCUGACCAAAACUUAUAGUGCAGAGAUGUCUUA